CCCUUAGAUGUCCUGGGCUGCACGCGCGCUACACUGAUGUGUCCAGUAAGCACCUAACCUCUUCCGAAAGGAACGGGUAACCUUUGCAAAGCACAUCGUGAUGGGGAUAGAUUAUUGCAAUUAUUAGUCUUGACCGAGGAAUUCCUAGUAAGCACAAGUCAUCAGCUUGUGUUGAUUACGUCCCUGCCCUUUGUACACACCGCCCGUCGCUCCUACCGAUUGAAUGUUCCGGUGAGCUCUUCGGACUGCGCGGUCUGCAGUUUCUGCGUUCCGUGCGGAAAGUUGCGCAAACCUUAACAUUUAGAGGAAGGAGAAGUCGUAACA
rnacentral:rRNA from 1 species